ACAUGGCCACCUAGCAAAUCAUUGCCAAAGUUGUGUAAUCUCUAGAUCUGGAUUUCAUGUAUUAGUUACUAUGUCAAUAUCAUGUAUUUGGGAAUGUGCAAACCUUUUAUUUUUCCUUUAAUUGUUUACUAUGGGUUGAGCUUUGGUUUCUGGGACUGACCUAAAGAAAGCACAACUGUGAGCAGUGUUUCAGAAAUGGUGUUUGAAAUCUCAGGAAAAGUGUUAAUAUUGUUGGUUAUUUCUCAUACCUGUAGACAUUAAUGCAUACUGGAGGACAAGCUGGUCUGAUUAGGAUAACCUGUUCCUGUAUGGUGCGUUCUGUUUUUGGAAGGUUCCAGAAUAUUUUGCACUUUCUUAAUCCUAUCAAGCUUAUAUCAGCCCAUGGAUUCUCCCAGAAAUGCAACAGCUGUUCUGAAAGAGCAACACACAACCUGGCUUUCUUUCAAAGACAUCACAGUAUAUUCAGGAGGCAGCAUAAUUGUUACUCUGGGUAUCUUUACCUUCCUUCUUCAGCUUUUAACUAUGGGCCUUGUCCUUUAUAAAUGUUGGAGAUAUGAUAAAAAGAAAAAACAGGAAUAUUGUCUUUCUCAAAACAGCCUUUCAACAGAAAAACUAACCCUUAGUGUUAAAGGUAACAGCAAGUGCCUGAGCAGAGAGAUCUAUCGGUGCCACAUUCCUGAUGAGGAGAAUCAGCAGUGGAAUGUCUUUUCAAGUUCUCCACUUAUUUAUCAGAACAGUUUCCAGCAGCAGUAUGAGGUGUAUUAUACAGAGAUAAAUCAUUAAACUAAAGGACAUGUUCAGUGGACCUGCAUAAUAAAGCAGGUGACAAAGAUAAUAUGCCACAGCCAACAGUGUUAAAGGUCUUUAAAGAACAAACAGUUACCCAACCAUUGCAAGCAAUUCCACAAGGAUGAGGUAAAGUAUAGAUUUUAGUUAUAUCCCUAUCUGUUUAAAAUAAAAGAAAAAACAACAAGUGAGUAAAAAAUGGAGAUGGGCUCAUAUACAGUCGCAGACAAAGGUAAAAAAAAAAGAGAAAAACCACAAAGAAAAUAAAUUCAAAUUGUUCUAUUGAA